CUGGGAAGGUUUUGAUGUGGGCUUUCAUUUCUCCUACCUGUUUUCUUUCUCCAUCUGAUUUAUAAUACCUGCUCUGUGUUUUCUCAGGUCAAAGCUGGGCCUGUUCCAGUCCAGGAUAAGUUUACAGAAGGCCAGUGUGAAGUUGAAAGCAAAGAGGAGUGAUUGUAACUCUAAAGCAACGCACGCGAGGAAUGAGUAUCUUCUUACACUGGCGGCCGCCAACGCACAUCACGACCGCUACUACCAGACCGACCUGGUCAACUGCAUCAAGGGUCUGGAGGGGAACGUAUAUGAUCAUGUGAAGGAUUACCUGAUAUCCUUCUGUCGGACGGAGCUGGAAGCGUUUCAGGCCAUUCACAGCACCUUCCAGUUCCUCCUGGAGAAGUCCAGUCGAGUGAGUCUCUCUCUCUCUCUCUCUCU